rnacentral:tRNA from 1 species
GCCGCUAUGAUGGAAUGGUAGACAUAGCAGACUUAAAAUCUGCCUGAGGUUACUCAGUACCGGUUCGAGUCCGGUUAGCGGCA